AUGGCAGAAAAAGAUCCCGUGGAAAGUAACAAUGAUACAUUAAACGAAACUGCUAUAUUUGAAGCGCUAACGAAUGUAACUGAAGGUAAUGUAGAAAAUAUGGAUGAAAACGGGUCACCCUUUAGUAGUAUUUUGCAAAAUCGUAGAUUAAUGGGAUUAGAAGGCGCAGCAAGCUUAGCUGUAUUAUAUUUGGUAUUUAUUGUUUGGAUGAUUAUUUUGAUAUUUUUAUAUUUGCUUAUAAGUCGGAGGCUUUAUGGAAUGCAAAGAUCGAAUAAAAAAAAAAGUUGAUCGUCGUAGAAAGAGAUAAAGUCAUCGAAACGAAACAUGCAAUAAACAGAGAUACAUUUAACA
rnacentral:lncRNA from 1 species